rnacentral:tRNA from 1 species
GCCCGCAUAGCUCAGUCGGUAGAACAUCAGACUUUUACUCUGAGGGUCGCGGGUUCGAAUCCCUCUGCGGGCG